GGCCAGUCGUGACCACCCAAGGCUCAUGCCAGAUACGUGCGGUAUCUUAUUCUAUCUAUGUCCCUACUCUUAUCUUUCCAUACAUUUGUUGGCACCAAUUCCCUCUGUUCAGCACGUGGGCCUUUUUGGAUAUUGGCCAGACAUGCUAUGGAAUAUUCCAGGCAAUGUUAAAUUUCUUAGUGCGACACAGUUUAAGCAUUUUAUGCAAUGUCAUCAUAGCUGAAUUUCUUAGUGCGACACAAGUUGAAUUUCUUAGUGCGACACAGUUUAAGCCAAGUGCCAUCUUAACUAUCUAUGAUAGAUUAAUUUGCUCAUUAGUGAU